ACAAAUGUGAUUUUGUGUGCUUCGAUCUAUAAAUACAGUUAUGGUCGAUGACACUUGAGAGAAUAACAAAGUGACAAUGAAGAAAACAACACAAGUGUUUCUUCUUCUUUUACGUUUGAUGCUUCUUAUAUGCCUAGUCUUUCAGGUUCGUGUCACAGAGGCUAGAUUCCGCCACCUAGGCGAGGAACGGAUUGGCGCAAUACCCUCCAUUCCAUGUGGAGCUGCUCCUAGAAGAAGUGAAGUUACAGGAAUAAUGAACAGGCUCUGUAGGAUUUCAAGACCUCCGGGUGUUAAUUAGUAAUCUCCGUCCAAGAGACAGCAACGUUUAAAUAUGAACCACGAAUAAAAUCUCUACUGUUCAGAAGUUUUUUUUCUCUUUCAUUCAUUCCAAAUAAUUGUUUCACGUUUUGCUAAAGACUAUAUAUCGUUCCAAAUAAUUGUUUCACGUUUUGUUAAAGACUCGCUUAGCUGAGAUACA